GGAGGUGAAUCUGGCCCGGUGGCUGGCCUGGACUUCAAAUCCAGUGGGAUUUACCGGAAGGUAGGUUCGGUGGGUUCGAUUCCCAUGCACCUCCGCCA
rnacentral:tRNA from 1 species